CACGGAAAAAAGUGGUGGUGCUAUUUUCGGCUCAGUGAUAUAGUACAUGCUGUGUUUAGUAUAAUAAAUAUAUAUAUAAGACACAAAUU